rnacentral:rRNA from 1 species
UUAAAUGGCCGCAGUAUUUUAACUGUGCUAAGGUAGCAUAAUCAUUAGUUUUUUAAUUGAAAACUAGAAUGAAAGGUUGGAUGAAAAAAUAAUUGUCUCUAUUAAAUACAAUAGAAUUUUAUUUUUUAGUUAAAAAGCUAAAAUAAUUUUAAAAGACGAGAAGACCCUAUAGAAUUUUAUAUAAAUAAUUAUUUAUAUUUUUAGAAUUUUAAUUAUUAAUUUUUAUUUUUAUUUGAUUGGGGUGAUUAAAAAAUUUAAUUAACUUUUUUUUUAUUUUAAUAUUAAUGAAUAAUUUGUUGAUCCAAUAAUUUUUGAUUAUAAGAAAAAAUUACCUUAGGGAUAACAGCGUUAUUUUAUUGGAGAGUU